GGAACGUGCCGUGGUGAUUUUGCCGGCCGGCUUGCAGCCACGUUAAACAAGUCGCUAAAGGGCCGAUCUCCUCGCAAG
rnacentral:ncRNA from 2 species